rnacentral:rRNA from 1 species
AAUGCCGGGGCUCAACCCCGGACUGCGUCCGAUACUUCCGAACUGGAAGCAGGUAGGGGAGAUCCGAAAUUUCCUGGUGUAGCGGUGAAAUGCGCAGAUAUCAAGAAGGAACACCGGUAGACGAAGGUCGGAUCUCUGGGCUCUUGCCUGACGCUGAGGCGCGAAAGCUAGGGGAGCGAACAGGAUUAGAUACCCUGGUAGUCCUAGCCGUAAACGUUGGGUGCUAGGUGUGGGCGGAUAUCGACCCCGUCCGUGCCGAAGCUAACGCAUUAAGCACCCCGCCUGGGGAGUACGGCCGCAAGGCUAAAACUCAAAGGAAUUGACGGGGGCCCGCACAAGCGGCGGAGCAUGCGGCUUAAUUCGAUGCAACGCGAAGAACCUUACCUGAGCUUGACAUGCGGGGCAAAGCCGGUGAAAGCCGGCGCUCUACGGAGCCUGCACAGGUGGUGCAUGGCUGUCGUCAGCUCGUGCCGUGAGGUGUUGCCUUAAGUGGCGCAACGAGUGCAACCCUUGUCCCUAGUUGCCAGCGGGUGAUGCCGGGAACUGUAGGGAGACUGCCGGUGCCAAACAGGAGGAAGGUGGGGAUGACGUCAAGUCAUCAUGCCCCUUAUGUCCAGGGCUGCACGCAUGCUACAAUGCGCGGUACAAAGGGCUGCGAUCCCGCGAGGGGGAGCGAAUCCCAAAAAGCCGCGCUCAGUUCGGAUCGGGGUCUGCAACCCGACCCCGUGAAGUCGGAGUCGCUAGUAAUCGCAGAUCAGCAAUGCUGCGGUGAAUACGUUCCCGGGCCUUGUACACACCGCCCGUCACACCACGAAAGUGGGCAACACCCGAAGCCGGUGGCCCAACCCUUGUGGAGGGAGCCGUCGAAGGUGGGGCUCGCGAUUGGGGUGAAGUCGUAACAAGGUAGCCGUACCGGAAGGUGCGGCUGGAUCACCUCCUU